rnacentral:rRNA from 1 species
UACAGUGGGGGCAAGCGUUGUUCGGAAUUACUGGGCGUAAAGGGCUCGUAGGUGGCCAACUAAGUCAGACGUGAAAUCCCUCAGCUUAACUGGGGAACUGCGUCUGAUACUGGAUGGCUUGAGUUUGGGAGAGGGAUGCGGAAUUCCAGGUGUAGCGGUGAAAUGCGUAGAUAUCUGGAGGAACACCGGUGGCGAAGGCGGCAUCCUGGACCAACACUGACACUGAGGAGCGAAAGCCGGGGGAGCAAACGGG